UACGUAGGGUGCGAGCGUUAAUCGGAAUUACUGGGCGUAAAGCGUGCGUAGGCGGUCCACGAAGUCUGAUGUGAAAGCCCCGGGCUCAACCUGGGAACUGCAUUGGAAACUAACGGGCUCGAGUGUGGCAGAGGGGGGUGGAAUUCCACGUGUAGCAGUGAAAUGCGUAGAGAUGUGGAGGAACACCGAUGGCGAAGGCAGCCCCCUGGGCUAACACUGACGCUCAGGCACGAAAGCGUGGGGAGCAAACAGG
rnacentral:rRNA from 1 species